rnacentral:lncRNA from 10 species
GAAGGGUUGGGCAGGCAAUGAGCACAUACACUUAUAAAUAAAUAGGAUAAUGUCACAUACUGAGAAGCAGUAUGGAGACGAUAGAAUAGGGUAUUGUAGGAAAUGUCUGUGGCUGUGUGUGGGUUGAGUUGUUCCCCACCUCCCCCAAAAAGGAUGUGUCAAAGUUCUAAUGCCCAAUGCAUAUGAAUGUGGAUUUACUUGGAAAUAAGGUCUUUGCAGAUGUAAUGAAGUUAAGAUGAGGCCAUAUGGUGUUAAGGUGUGCCCUAAUCCGAUGAAUGGUGUUCUUAUGAAGGAUAUUUAACACAGACACAGAGAGGACGGUGCCACUGGAAGUCAUGCAGCCGCAAGUCAAGAAAUGUCAUGAGUGGCUCCUCUCCAGAAACUAGGAGAGGAGCAUGGGGCAGGUUUUCUCCUAGUGCCUUCAGAGACACAUGGCCCUGCCGACACCUUGAGUUUGGAUUUUUGGCCUCCAGAACUGUAAGUGAAAAAACUUAUGUUUUUGUUUUGUUUUGUUUUGUUUUGUUUUUGUGAUGGAGUCUCGGGGUACAAGCUGGAAAAGGGGAAAAUGAAUCAUGCUACAGGCCAAGUGUCCAUCACUGAUUCCCAGAGAUGCCCUUUGUGUGGUAGGCACUUCCAUGUGGACUCGCUACAGAGUAACUACUCAGUGAUGACUUUCUCUUCCUCUAGCUAAGGGUCAUAAGACCCUAAUUCCAGAGGGCCCUACCCUAUAACCAGAAGGAAGAACUAUUGCACAGAGAAUCUAAGAAGAAUCUAGACAGACAGCCCUUGCUGGAUUUCUCCACUCUGUUAGCAUUCGAUCAUUUGCCUUUUGUCCAGUCAUAUUUCUGCAUGGCUGUCCAUACUUUGUUGAACCUAAGCACAAAAUGGAAAGUUUUCCCUGUAUCUUUGGGUCGUCAUUCUGAAGGCUCCCAUGUUAUGUAAAACUAUGAUCAAAUAAAU